rnacentral:tRNA from 1 species
AAAGAUUUAGUUAAAUAAUAACAACAAUUUGUCAAGUUGUCAUUACCUCAAUUGGUAGUCUUUA